GACGAACCGUGCUAACGUUAUUCGGAAUCACUGGGCUUAAAGCGCGUGUAGGCGGAUGGGGACGUCGGUUGUUGAAAGCCCCCGGCUCAACCGGGGAACUGGCACCGAAACGCCCCGUCUGGAGGGACGUAGGGGGACCUGGAACUUCCGGUGGAGCGGUGAAAUGCGUUGAUAUCGAUAGGAACUCCGGUGGCGAAGGCGGCAUACUGGGCCACUUCUGACGCUGAUGCGCGAAAGCCAGGGGAGCGAACGGG
rnacentral:rRNA from 1 species